rnacentral:rRNA from 1 species
UACGUAGGGGGCAAGCGUUGUCCGGAUUUAUUGGGCGUAAAGCGCUUGUAGGCGGCACGUCAAGUCGCGUGUGAAAUCCCCAGGCUUAACCUGGGAAGUGCGCGCGAAACUGACGAGCUUGAGUGCCGGAGAGGGUCGCGGAAUUCCCGGUGUAGAGGUGAAAUUCGUAGAUAUCGGGAGGAACACCAGUGGCGAAGGCGGCGACCUGGACGGACACUGACGCUGAGACGCGAAAGCGUGGGGAGCAAACAGG